UGUUGUUACAGUAAUGUUAUAGUAAUAUUAUAGGUUAUAAUUUCAUGUAUGUAGUUAUGAGGCUGAAAAUGUAUCCUCAUGGCUUAAAAUAAGCCCAGGCAAAAACUCUCCAAGAGCAGAGAGGCAGUUCAAACCUCAACAGGGCAUGUAUGGGAUGAACCCAGCCCAGCCUCACAGGAAUAAAGGACUCUGGCCUAGGCAGCAA